ensembl:lncRNA
CUGGGUCCUUGUCUUCCUGGAAUGUUCCUUGGAGGACCAUCUGAGAAUCAUUCUAUUGCACAUGAAAGAAAAACCCACUCAAAUUGUGGCAGACAAAACUAUUGCACAGUGCCUCCCAGUGAUGCUGGCCCGUCGGGUGCUGCCAGGCCCCCAGCGUCUCCCCGCACACGUCCAGGUCUGCCUUUCCACAGAAAGUUGGGAAAUAGAAAUUCUGACUUUUUCAGCUGCAUUACAAAGCAUAAACAUGAAGUCUGAAACCACAAUCAUGUUUGCACCAGCCUAACAGAUAGCAUCACUAUCUCAAUGGAUCUGAAUCUGAGCAAACUCUGGGAGAUAGUGGAGGACAGAGGAGCCUGGUGUGCUGCAGUCUACAGAGUCAUAAAGAGUUGGACAUGACUUAGCAGCUGAACAACAAAUUCAUUAUGGACAUAUUCUUAACACCUGAUAUAAGGUAAUUAGCAGCCCAAAG